UACGAAGGGUGCAAGCGUUACUCGGAAUUACUGGGCGUAAAGCGUGCGUAGGUGGUUCGUUAAGUCUGAUGUGAAAGCCCUGGGCUCAACCUGGGAAUUGCAUUGGAUACUGGCGGGCUAGAGUGCGGUAGAGGAUGGCGGAAUUCCCGGUGUAGCAGUGAAAUGCGUAGAGAUCGGGAGGAACAUCCGUGGCGAAGGCGGCCAUCUGGACCAGCACUGACACUGAGGCACGAAAGCGUGGGUAGCAAACAGG
rnacentral:rRNA from 1 species